GGUUGGCAAGAAUUUGAGCUUAAAAUGUUUAAUUAGCAAACGUACAUAAAAUAACUUACUUUGUUGAAUGACAGCGCUCUCACCACACGCGACAGCAACUCUUCAGCUCUCUUCGGAAGUGAACUGUGAAAACAACUCAUCAAGAAACCAAUGAAAACGGCGCAACAAUAUCAAAGAACCAAUCGCAAGAGGGAUUGUUGAAAGGCGAAGACGCCAUUUUGGUCUGUUCAAACGUCGGACAAGCGAAAUAGCGUUGUUUUUUGAGGUCAUGGAAUAUAUUUUUACUCUUCUUUUCGCUUCUAGCAGUUAGUAUACCUAAUAAAUUACGAAAGUUCAGCAGGUUAACUGUUUGUGUUGAACCGAACCUAUUCGCGAUGGACAGCCGGUCGGCAGGUGGCGCAUUGCGGAGGGCGGAUGUUUUCAGAUUAAUGUUAACGUUAGCGUCGUCAGUUUAAUUUAAGGUGCAGCACAUGCGAAAGUAGAAUUGGAGUAGGUGUCUGUGUGAUAUAACUUGAAGACGAAUUAGAUCUACUACAUAUUCCUGGCAGAAGUACAGUUAACUUGAACUAUUUAGCUUUUAUCCGUCACAAACAGCUCCAACGGCUGUGUAACUGAUUUCUGUAUUUUGAAAAUCCAGCCACCGGAAGUAUUAUUUAUCAUUAUAUCUUGCUUGACAGUGGUCACACAGGCACAUCAGCUGUACAAGCGAGGGGAAUACUGACCCAAUUAACUGUACAUGGGACAACAGCGACGACACAUCACUGCGACCGACCGAAGUACCAUUUUCUCUAACUCAGUGAGAAGAAGCUGUGCGUGGGACUUGGUGUCAUUACAGAGAAAGCUCCACCAACCUGUCUGCCUAGAAGCCAAUACAGAGCUGACAAGUGCGCUAUUGAAUGCUGCAACUGAGAGAGAGGAAGAGGAGGAAAACAUAGCCAAAGAGAGAGAGCGAGAACUUGUCCUUUCUGCAUAUAAGGGAACUUUUGGACACAGAGAUCAUUGUUUUGCAGAAGCUUCUCAUGGGAAAAGGAGCUAUUGAAAUGUCUGUAAUGACUGAGCUUUCAUCAGCCCAGGUGACCGAGUGUACCUGAGCGUUACGUACUCAAAAUCACCAUCAGCCUGUGGGCAUUUGCUGUGCAGUUAAAAGGCAAAUCUAUGGUGACUUCAGCGUGGAGGAAAAAAACAUUACUGAAUCCCUCCUAUUUUUGUCUGGAUUAUUUUUAUCUUUAGCUUUUUUCCCCCCUGUUUUAGUGGCUUACCUGUGAGAGAAAAAGAAGCGCAGAAGGGCAAAUGACUGUUUGUGGAUUUGGAACUUACUGAGCUGUUGAUUAUAGCACAGAACAAGGCUGCUGGGACUCUGCAUCAUCUGUGUGCAGGAAGGCAGAGUCACAUAUCGAGGCACACCAUGCAGUGUACUGUUUGAGCAGCUGAGUCUGUUUAGGCCCUGGAGGCGGCCAUGUUGGAUCUUUUCCUCAGAGUGUUGGUGUUGAUCCGUCUUCACCCGUCACCUCACGGCACCUUGCUGCCAACCUAACUCUUCGCUCCCUCUCUCUUCCCGCAUCGCUUUCUUCCACCGCCUGGCCGGGAGAAAGGUCCUUGUGGAAAAUGUCCUAUGCACACCACAAGCUGCUUACCUGGAGCUUACCUCAACUCCUCCUCCUACCACUGACCUUCCUCUGGCUCUUGGCUCCUACCACAGGUGUGUCAGCAAAUCUCUGCCGGGUGGCCGGCGGGGUGCUGGGGAUCCACUGGAGUAGCACCAUCACCAUGGGUUGGCACCCUAUGGCAGACGGGAGAGGCGGGGCGACAUGUUGGGAGUCCUGCUGCUUGAAUCCGAGCUGCAAUGCUGUGUGGAGCCUUGGCGGGCGAUGUGUGCUUCUCAGCUGCACGCUGAAAAGUGGCUGCCCAAUCUCCUUCCUGCCGCAGCCCCACCAGGAGUCCCUUGGUCUCCUUCAGCUUCUCA